rnacentral:misc_RNA from 1 species
GUUUCUAUUUUGUCAUCAAAACCCUUCAAGGAACUGUCCAAUAUCCGUUCGAAAGUCCAGCCCCUCUCCGCGUUGCAAAUCCCAUCAAAUUCCUCUUUUCGGACUGGGAAAUAAAUAGAAAGGAAUGGGAUUACAAGUCAUGCCGUUGCAGGUUGGAGCUGUCUUCUUCCCUUUAAAGUGGAGUCUCUGUCGUAGCUCGUGCAUCGACUACUCUUAUAAUCUGCUCAAAAAGAUAGACUAGAUGCGGAUUUUAUGUCAAGGACCUCAACUUACCCACUGAGAAGGCCUUACAAGAAGAGGAUUGCUUGCAAAUAUUGAUACAAUCCCUCGUGACUGAAGUAUCAGGCUGCGAUAAGAGACCUCUCGUCUUGCAAGAAAAAUUGGGACAAUUCAUCUUCCUUCCUGACGUCUUUUCGUAAGUUUCUAUUCCUCCAAAGCAUUGUGCAUUUGUUGUUGCUAUUAAUGAAUUGAGGAUUAUUCCAACUAUACAAUGAAGCCAGGUGUUUCGACGUCUCUGAAAAAGAAGAGAAAUGAAAAGCCACAAAAAAAUAGUACCCCAAGGAUCUCAGUCUCUAACAAAAUCACAAAGCAUAGGAUUUGGACACGUCACUAUACUUUAAACCAAUCAUUAACUCCAAUCAAUCCUAUUCAAUAUUUUAACUGUCAUUUGUGCCCGAGAUCUUACUACGACCAAAAAACACUGCAGAAUCAUUUUGAGACUUCACACCCUCAAUACAACUUUAAAGAAGAAGAAUCCCUUAUUCAUAGGAGAAGGAAUAAAAGAGAAUUUCCCUGUAAAUCUCAAAAGGAAAAGCUUUUAGAAAAAUGCUACGUUUGUUUCAAAAGAUUUGAUCCAGAUAAAUUAUUCGAUCACAAGGUAUCUGCUCACAUUGAUCCUCGAUUUUAUAGAUAUAAAUGUGCAAAAUGCAAUUGUCGUUAUUUUACUCAAAAAAUGUAUGCGGAACAUCUCUGUAAAACAGAAGAAAAUCUUUGAAAUUCGAACUUGGUCUCCUAUAUUUUUAUUCUUGUUAAAUUGUUAUAACUUUUAAAGCAUUCUUCAUUUAAAUGUUAUUGAUACCAGAGUCCAAAAUGUGUUUUAGUUCACUUGAAGACUCAUUAUUUUUCUAUGAUCCAAUAUUUUUAUUUUUGAAAAUUACUCAAAUAAUAUAUAUAUGUCCUUUCAAAGUUUAAUAGUAUGUCUGUGCUUGUAUCAAUAUACUCGUAUCUAUGUACGUAUGUACUAAAAGACAUUAAAGACUGACUCAUUGAUAA